UAUAGCUGCUGCUGUUUCUGUUUGUUUGGUUAAAUACAUUAGCAAAGAGCUGUUUUUCCUUCCCCCCAUGACUUGGCCUGGGAGUCCCUGAUUCCAAAUUUAUAUAAUGAGGAGGGAGGGGGUUUACAUUCUGCAUUGCAGGGAGGGAUUUUCCUGCCUUUCUCGGCAAAUACCUGCCUUUACCAGCGAGGAAGUGCACGGAAGUGAGGCAGGGGAACAUGACAUGACAUGAGGGAACAGCUGUAAAUUCAAAGGCAGAAAGAGAAGAUGUACCAGCACAAGGCAGGAAAGGGGAAAGGUUUCAGAAAGCAUUUCUGUGGUCUAAUUAAUAAUUAUUUCUGAUUCCCCAGGGAGAACACCAACUCACAGCCACUCAGGCCUGGCAGUUCCCUGCAGCGAGAGCUCAUCACACAUCCACAGAGGCAAGUCCAGCAUCUGAAAGAAGAAAAAUCAACAGCAGAAAAAGGGUCCUGUUCCUGAGACGGGGCUUCCAUCUGCUACAACGCCAGACAGAUCAGGAUUUCUCCCAGACACAAGCUGCUAGCACUUAGAACCCCGGCUGCCUUUGCCGUGAAAAACAGCUCUUCCCUACUGAUGUCACAGAACUGGGUCUGUUUUGUGCUGAUGGCAUCAGACUGAGUGCAGCUCAACCCUGUGAUGUGCAUCCCUGGGCAUUCCUGGGAGAUGCUGACUAAGGGACAACAGCCCAGUGGUGGCAGGAAUUUCCCAGAUGGUGAAGCUUUUAUACUGCACACCUGGCAUGGAUUCUCAUACCUGGAUCUCUGACAGAUAAGUGCUGGGCUCCAACCCACAGAGGGGAUGGGAGCAGGAUGCUGUGUCUGGAAUUGUCAGGAGGGAUUUUUGAGGCAGCUUUGGAGCUGGGGAUGUCCAAGAAGCAGCCCCUCAGGCCCCAUAAGGGGAAGAGUCUCAAUUUGAUCUCAAUGCUGAUUUGCACAGGGCAGAGCAGUUCCUCUGGGUGUCAUGUCACUUGUCUCUUGUGCAGUGUCUGUCUUCUGUGUGUGUUGUAUUGCCUGUCUCUUGCCUUAGCCCUUUGAGGGGCCUCUCAGAAACCCUGGGCUCAUCCAUAGCAUCUUGUGAUCUCUGCAUUCAUCAGCCUGGCUCUGAUGCCAUCGAACCUUGGUCUCAGGAGCUUGGACAGGCAUCUGACUCUCUUCUCUUAUGGAAAGCAUCCAGUCUGAUCUCUUUUAAGGUCUUCUUCUGAGCUGUGCCCCUGGAGGAUCCCUUAUGUCAGAUUGGAACUUGGAAGAAUGGAAGAUAAGAA